rnacentral:rRNA from 1 species
UACGGAGGGUGCGAGCGUUAUCCGGAUUCACUGGGUUUAAAGGGUGCGUAGGUGGGCUUGUAAGUCAGUGGUGAAAUCUCCGGGCUUAACCUGGAAACUGCCAUUGAUACUACAGGUCUUGAAUUUUCUGGAGGUAAGCGGAAUAUGUCAUGUAGCGGUGAAAUGCUUAGAUAUGACAUAGAACACCAAAUUGCGAAGGCAGCUUGCUACAGGAGUAUUGACACUGAGGCACGAAAAGCGUGGGGGAUCAAACAGG